rnacentral:rRNA from 1 species
AGUGAACGCUGGCGGUGGGCCUAACACAUGCAAGUCGAACGGCAGCACAGUAAGAGCUUGCUCUUACGGGUGGCGAGUGGCGGACGGGUGAGGAAUACAUCGGAAUCUACUUUUUCGUGGGGGAUAACGUAGGGAAACUUACGCUAAUACCGCAUACGACCUACGGGUGAAAGCAGGGGAUCUUCGGACCUUGCGCGAUUGAAUGAGCCGAUGUCGGAUUAGCUAGUUGGCGGGGUAAAGGCCCACCAAGGCGACGAUCCGUAGCUGGUCUGAGAGGAUGAUCAGCCACCCUGGAACUAGGACACGGUCCAGACUCCUACGGGAGGCAGCAGUGGGGAAUAUUGGACAAUGGGCGCAAGCCUGAUCCAGCCAUACCGCGUGGGUGAAGAAGGCCUUCGGGUUGUAAAGCCCUUUUGUUGGGAAAGAAAAGCAGCAGGUUAAUACCCCGCUGUUCUGACGGUACCCAAAGAAUAAGCACCGGCUAACUUCGUG